rnacentral:tRNA from 1 species
GCGGAUGUAGCUCAGUUGGCUAGAGCGGCGCCUUGCCAAGGCGCAGGUCGCGGGUUCGAGCCCCGUCAUCCGCU